rnacentral:rRNA from 2 species
CUUGACAAAAAUAUAAGAGGUCCAGCCUGCCCAGUGACUAAGUUCAACGGCCGCGGUACCCUAACCGUGCGAAGGUAGCAUAAUCACUUGUUCUUUAAAUAGGGACUCGUAUCAACGGCAUCACGAGGGUUAUACUGUCUCCUUUUUCUAAUCAGUGAAACUGAUCCCCCCGUGAAGAAGCGGGGAUAAACCUAUAAGACGAGAAGACCCCAUGGAGCUUUAAACCAAUUAUAUUAUUCUUCAUCUUAAAUCAUAUUAGUAUUAGAAUAUUAUAUAAUAGUUUUAGAUUGGGGGGAUCGUGGAGUAAAACUAAACCUCCUUGACAAACGGGCCCUGCCUUAAUUUAAGAAGUACUCUUCUAAAAAUCAAUAUAUUGAUGUUUAAUGACCCAAAUUUUUGAUCAACGAACCA